rnacentral:rRNA from 1 species
CCUACGGGUGGCUGCAGUGAGGAAUAUUGGUCAAUGGGCGCGAGCCUGAACCAGCCAAGUAGCGUGAAGGAUGACUGCCCUACGGGUUGUAAACUUCUUUUAUAAAGGAAUAAAGUGAGGCACGUGUGCCUUUUUGUAUGUACUUUAUGAAUAAGGAUCGGCUAACUCCGUGCCAGCAGCCGCGGUAAUACGGAGGAUCCGAGCGUUAUCCGGAUUUAUUGGGUUUAAAGGGAGCGUAGAUGGGUUGUUAAGUCAGUUGUGAAAGUUUGCGGCUCAACCGUAAAAUUGCAAUUGAUAAUGGCAGGCUUGAGUACAGGUGAGGUAGGGGGAAUUCGGGGUGGAGCGGGGAAAAGCUU